AUGGAGGGAAGAUCUGAAUCCUUCUGCAACAACCUGAUGGUUACUGUUCUUCUGCUUCACGAAGGGAUGUUCCAGCCAAAGCUCCCAAGAUUCACAGUACUCGCACUAAAAACUUACAAAUGUGCAUAUCUGGACCAGGAAAAGAUUUCUCCCUGUGAUUCUGUGACUGCAAAAGAGGAAUGGUUUUCUACAGAGAUCUGAACUAUCGCCAAGAAUGCAUAAAACUCAACAGAAGAACACUCCCCAGAGCUCCAAAAUUCACACAUUCAGAAUGGAAUACAAGUUCCACAGGACUUAAAGAGAUAUUAAGAGAAAUCUCUUAACAUCUGCUCCAAGAGGCAGGUACAAGAGACCCUGCAAACUCCAAGGUAAACACCAGAGACAAAGGUCCCAAUAAAGCCGAGGUAGCUUGGUGCA
rnacentral:lncRNA from 1 species